GGACUACAAGGGUAUCUAAUCCCGUUCGCUCCCCUGGCUUUCGCACCUGAGCGUCAGGAGCCUUCCCAGGAUGCUGCCUUCGCCAUUGGUGUUCUUCCAGAUCUCUACGCAUUUCACCGCUCCACCUGGAAUUCCGCAUCCCUCUGAAGUCCUCAAGUCUUGCAGUUUUCCAAGGCCUGUGGUAGUUAAGCCACCACCUGUCACUCGAAACUUACACGACCGCCUGCGUGCGCUUUACGCCCAAUAAAUCCGGACAACGCUUGCCCCCUACGUAUUACCGCGGCUGCUGGCAC
rnacentral:rRNA from 1 species